rnacentral:snRNA from 1 species
GAGUGAACACAGAUCUUUUAGAAUUUUUCUAGCAGCUUUUCUGACUUUGGUCGGAAAACCUAU